AUUUGCCUUUAGGAGGGGGACAACAACUGGAAACGGUUGCUAAUACCCCAUAUGCUUUCGAGUGGAAUGGAUUUCCGCCUAGAGAGAAGCUUGCGGCUGAUUAGCUUGUUGGUGAGGUAAUGGCUCACCAAGGCGACGAUCAGUAUCUGGUUUGAGAGGACGAUCAGACACACUGGAACUGAGACACGGUCCAGACUCCUACGGGAGGCAGCAGUAGGGAAUUUUCCGCAAUGGGCGAAAGCCUGACGGAGCAAUACCGCGUGAGGGAUGACUGCCUAUGGGUUGUAAACCUCUUUUUUCAGGGAGGAAUAAAUGACGUGUACCUGAAGAAUAAGCAUCGGCUAACUCCGUGCCAGCAGCCGCGGUAAGACGGAGGAUGCAAGUGUUAUCCGGAAUCACUGGGCGUAAAGCGUCUGUAGGUGGCUCGAUAAGUCAACUGUUAAAUCUUGAAGCUCAACUUCGAAAUCGCAGUCGAAACUAUCGGACUAGAGUAUAGUAGAGGUAAAGGGAAUUUCCAGUGGAGCGGUGAAAUGCGUAGAUAUUGGAAAGAACACCGAUGGCGAAGGCACUUUACUGGGCUAUUACUGACACUCAGAGACGAAAGCUAGGGUAGCAAAUGG
rnacentral:rRNA from 1 species